AAUAGAUAGUGACUGUAAUACUGUUUGGACCUACAGCCUACUGUUGCACCAACAGAACCGUGCACCAACUAGGGCCUACGCUGUGUGUUUCAAAAAGUAUUUUACUCAACAGUACAUAGUACACUCUGUUUAUUGUGUAGUAGACAUCGUGGACACAUGUAAAAAUUCCCAGAGAGUAGAGGCAGGUUGUUCUCAAAGACUCUUAACCUGUUGAGCUGUUGGCCUGUCAUUGCUCAUGUGUGGCAGGGCUUGCACUAUGCAAUCAUGUUGCAGCUUUGCUCUACCAGACCUCGCAUAACGGCUGUCCCCCUACUCACAGCUGCACAGGGUCUGAGCUGCAGUGGCACAACCUAGCACCCAGGGCUUUAAGCCUGGUCCAACAAAUGAGAUUGUGGUGUUGUCAGCUAGGCCCAAGGAGAGGAUUGGCUGAAGGGAUCAGAAGUAACUUGUACAACGGGGCCUGUGACCGGUGACCAGUGACCGGACCUGUGACCUUCCAGACAUGUCAGUUCUGCGUGUGAAUGAGAUUUACCGAGGAAUGCCAAGGGAAACCGCUCCACCCACAACAACAAUGGGAAUAUAUUUAUGGAAUUGUUUAUUCAAAGAAUAUUCAGAGACGGGAGAGUCAUAAAAACAAUCAAAAGUUUGAUUACUUUUACUCUUACCUACCUAUGCUUUUGGCUUGUCAAUUUCCAUGUUUAACUUUCAGUUUUUUUUACAAAGUUCAAAUAGUUUGGUUUUCAUUACAUUUCUGAGCAGUUUUCAUGUGUUCACUAUUGUCAUCUGCCACAAAUAUAUUCUAAUAGAAUUCUAGUAUACAAUGUAUACAAAUUAUUUUAUGUAGUUGAACAUGUCAUCAUUAAUUUAUUAAAUUACAUAUUUUCCUAUAAAUGUUAUUUAUGUGAGUGUUUGAGGUUAUAUCUCAUUAGUACCUAAAAAUAGUAUUGUUUAAAUGCUGUUUGUAAUGGUCACAAUAAAAUACACAAUGCUUUGGGGAGCCCUUUAAAAAGGCAGUUACAAACAAAUGUAGGUUUAUUCACUGGAAGCAUGAAACUGAUCUGAAAAAUACAGAUCCCUGUAUGAAGUUGUAGAGAUGUAAAUCCAUUCUUUAUCAUUGAACAAAAGCAGUAGCUAACAACAGUAAAAUAGUUAAAAUACUAAACAGAACUGCGCACUGGUCUUGAUGCAUCUAUUUAGACAAAGCAAUUUAACGCAAAAAACUCAAAGUUUGAAAACGAAUAGCCGAAUUUAAUUUAGAUGAGGAUGAACACUGAGGGACGCAACAGUGCCCAACUGUCGUCCACUCAAAAUGCUGAAAUUUAAACGUCUUUUUCAUUUCGUUCACUUAUUUUUAUAAUCUAUUUAAACAAGUGAAUAACGAGAAAAAAAAGAUUGAUAUCGCUUUACAGGCUAUUUACACUGUCCAUCAGAAAAUUGAAUAUGCCGCUACAGCAAGUGACGUUUCACCGGAAGUUUUUGAGCUGGCUUAUAUUAUUCCGGAAGUUGUAAUUAACGUUCCAUGCAUAUAGAUCAAUGGAAGCGGUCUGCGAUUGGCCAGUUCAGAAGUCGUUCAUAUAGUCAUCAUAGUAACCAUAGUAAACAAAGGGAAAUCAUAUCGUAUAAGUUGCAGAAAAACAGCCACUAAGUUCGAAGUUCAGUGCUCAUUUUAAAUGGUUAACAUAAGACAAGAGUCAAGACAAAACUAUCACAUGCAUUUAAAUAAGUUGUUUAAAGCUUUGUCGAUUUAAUAUUAUAAUGAGGGAGAUGUAACAUUGUCAGUUCCAGUGUAUGAACGCGCGUGUUUUAACUCUUCUGUCCUAAACAACUAAUAGACCAAAUUACUAUACAGUGUAUUCAUACAGCUCCAUAUACGAUAUGUAACAUAAUGUCACUUAUUUUAUUUAACUUCUUAUUAUUAAUGAAUUCUACAAUUCGUUUUUUAAUCAUUUAGAACGUUUUACUAUAGGUAGAGUGUUUAAACAUAAAUUAAAUUAUCAAGAUGUGUGUUUGUGCAGCAAACUUAAUAUCAAGACAUAGAAAGUCAUGUAAAUUACAUGUUUAUUAAAAGAAUAAUUUUUCAAAUGAACAAUUAGAACAAAGUGAUAGUUCACCCAAAAAUGAAAACUCUCUCAUCAUUUACUCAGCCUCAUGCCCAGAUGUGUAUUAUUUUCUUUCUUCAGCAGAACACAAAUUAAGAUUUAUAGAAGAAUAUCUCAGUUCUGUAGGUCUUUACAAUGCAAGUGAAUGGUGACCAAAUCUGAGAAGGUCUCCAGUGGUUUAAUCCAUAUUUUCAGAAGCAAUAUGAUAGGUGUGGGUGAGAAACAGAUCAAUAUUUAAGUCCAUGUUUUUUUUUUUGUUUUUUUUUUUUUUACUAAAGUGAAAGUAAACAUGUAGAUUUACGGUAGAAAAAGGACUAAACAUGUUUCUCUGUUUCUAGGAAUAUGGUAAGACAUAAUUGAAAUUUGUAUAUUUCUUAGCUCAUAGAAAAGUGAGAAAUACACUGUGAACUGUGAAUUAAAAAUGUUGCUUUCCAACCUUGCUGCCUUAUAAUUAUAUAUAUGAUAUAAUGCAUCUGACUCCAUAUAAUAUUCAGUCAAUUCAAGUUCUGCUUUAGAUUGAAUACAAUUACCUUGAAAUAUUUUCUGUUCCAAGGGUGGCUAUGUGCUUACCAUAAAUUCACUGUAAUUAGCAAUAUUACAGUCAGGACUUUGAAAUCUAAUUUGAUCUAAUUUAAUUUUGCUGCCUGGCUUCAAAUAUAAGCUUCCACCCCAAUGGAAAUGUACAAUUGUUUAAUUUUACAAUUUUUUUUUUUAAAUCAGAUAAAUGGGUGAUUCUGUAGCUAUAGGCACUUGACCUGAUAAUUUUGUCUUCUUUCUGUCUAAAACUGAAUUACUUCACAUUCAGUCUCCAAGCAGAGUUUCUUUUCCACAGCAUUCUCAGAAAAGUCUGAAAGUUAAAUAGUAAAAAAAACAAAAACAUUCUCUCAUGGGUUACCAAUAUCAAGGUGGUUACCUUGAUAUUUAAUAUUUUUAUUUUUGGAAAAUUGAUUUGUCAAUUUUUUAUUUAUAUUUUUAAUAAUACAAUUCGGAUUCAUAUCACUCAUUAUUGUUCAGAAUAAAGUGAUAUGUCACAUAUAACGAAUUAUUUUCUUUUGGGAAUGGGAGACUAAAGCUUAAUGUUAUUAAUUUACAUUAAAUAUAAAAAAAAAAAUGUAUGCUAGUUUGUGGGGGGUGGCUAACGCAUUCUGUAGCCUCUGUUUAUAAUGCUGAUUAGUUUAUCAUAUUUAACACCGAGUCUGAUGGCUUCAUUUGAGUUUUUACGUGAAGUUUGUAAAAGGUGGCCGAAAAUAGGAGUUUUAUCCGUUUUACUUAUGCGCUUGCGUUGAUGACGCGUACACUCGUUUCCAUAGAUACGUAACGACAACAAAAGCGCCGGAUCGUCCUCCCGGUAAGAUUAACUUGUUAUGCUAAAACAAAACAAAAAAAUCAUGCUCUUAGACACUUUAAAAUGAGUAGAAAUAGUAAUUUUCAUUAUUCAAUAAUAAUCUAAUUGCACGAGAUUCGAAGAAACAAACUGAACAAUAAUAACAUAAAGGAUAAUUACAAAAUGAAUGUAAUAUUGAUUUUGAAAAUAUAAAAUUAAAAUUAAAUAUAAAAUACAAAUAUUAAAGUGUCAAUUAUUAACUGACUUUUGUUAACUUGUGUGUCAUAUGUCUGUAC